rnacentral:rRNA from 1 species
CUUACGGGAGGCAGCAGUAGGGAAUCUUCGGCAAUGGACGGAAGUCUGACCGAGCAACGCCGCGUGAGUGAAGAAGGUUUUCGGAUCGUAACGCUCUGUUGUAAGAGAAGAACGAGUGUGAGAGUGGAAAGUUCAUACUGUGACGGUAUCUUACCAGAAAGGGACGGCUAACUACGUGCCAGCAGCCGCGGUAAUACGUAGGUCCCGAUCGUUGUCCGGAUUUAUUGGGCGUAAAGCGAGCGCAGGGGGUUAGAUAAGUCUGAGGUUAAAGGCUGUGGCUAAACCAUAGUACGCUUUGGAAACUGUGUGACUGGAGUGCAGGAGGGGAGGGUGGAAUUCCAGGUGUAGCGGUGAAAUGCGUAGAUAUAAGGAGGAACACCGGUGGCGAAAGCGGCUCGCUGGCUUGUAACUGACGUUGAGGCUCGAAAGCGUGGGGAGCAAACAGGAUUAGAUACCCUAGUAGUC